UACGUAGGGUGCAAGCGUUGUCCGGAAUUAUUGGGCGUAAAGCGCUCGUAGGCGGCCUGUUGCGUCCGCUGUGAAAUCCCGGGGCUCAACCCCGGGCGUGCAGUGGAUACGGGCUGGCUGGAGGCAGGCAGGGGAGAGCGGAAUUCCUGGUGUAGCGGUGAAAUGCGCAGAUAUCAGGAGGAACACCGGUGGCGAAGGCGGUUCUCUGGGCCUGUACUGACGCUGAGGAGCGAAAGCGUGGGGAGCGAACAGG
rnacentral:rRNA from 1 species